rnacentral:rRNA from 1 species
UACAGAGGAGCCAAGCGUUGUCCGGAUUGACUGGGCGUAAAGCGCACGCAGGCGGACGCGCGCGUGGGGUGUGAAAUCUGGCCGCUUAACGGCCAGGCGCCAUCCCAUACGGCGCGUCUGGAGUGAUGCAGAGGUCGAUGGAAUUGCCGGUGUAGUGGUGAAAUGCGUAGAGAUCGGGAGGAACACCAGAGGCGAAGGCGGCGACCUGGACAGUUACUGACACUCAACUGCGAAAGCG